rnacentral:ncRNA from 2 species
GGGAGCCGUGUAAAUCGAGAGGUUUACGCACGGUUCUGCGAGAGGCUCGGGGUGAAAUCCCCGGGCCUACUUACC